UGAAUAAUGCAAUGUUUUUAUGUUUUGGUUAAAAUUGGUCGGAAAUGAGAGCCAGUAUUAAGAGCAUUUCAAACCAAUUUGCAUGUACAUUUAAGAAGUGAGAGGUGACAGGACUGAGACACAUCGAUAUCAAGGCAAAGGUCAUCAGCAAAAUACAUUCUGUCCGUACACGGGAGCUCACGGCCGGUGUUACGACCCCAAUCAAAUAACUAAUCGUGAAGCUCCCCAUGUGAAACAUUAUAGAAACGCAAGAUUAUACCGUUUAAAAAAGAAAAAGUUACAGACAAGGGUGCAUCAUCCAUACAAUCCUUACAAACAUUCAUACAAGAAACAUGGACGAAACAAACAGAAUCAACCACCAAUUUACAAUGAACAGCCUCAGACAUCUAAGUUCAUUUUGCUGUUUAAUGAUUACGAACAAUGGUUUGGUAAUUACGAUGAAUUGUAUUUCGUCAACAAAUACCCUGAAGUAUAGUCAAAC